rnacentral:rRNA from 1 species
ACACUAAGUUAAAAGGCGCUUCGGCGUCACCUAGAGAUGGAUCCGCGGUGCAUUAGUUAGUUGGUGGGGUAAAGGCCUACCAAGACAAUGAUGCAUAGCCGAGUUGAGAGACUGAUCGGCCACAUUGGGACUGAGACACGGCCCAAACUCCUACGGGAGGCUGCAGUAGGGAAUCUUCCACAAUGGGCGAAAGCCUGAUGGAGCAACGCCGCGUGUGUGAUGAAGGCUUUCGGGUCGUAAAGCACUGUUGUAUGGGAAGAACAGCUAGAAUAGGAAAUGAUUUUAGUUUGACGGUACCAUACCAGAAAGGGACGGCUAAAUACGUGCCAGCAGCCGCGGUAAUACGUAUGUCCCGAGCGUUAUCCGGAUUUAUUGGGCGUAAAGCGAGCGCAGACGGUUUAUUAAGUCUGAUGUGAAAGCCCGGAGCUCAACUCCGGAAUGGCAUUGGAAACUGGUUAACUUGAGUGCAGUAGAGGUAAGUGGAACUCCAUGUGUAGCGGUGGAAUGCGUAGAUAUAUGGAAGAACACCAGUGGCGAAGGCGGCUUACUGGACUGCAACUGACGUUGAGGCUCGAAAGUGUGGGUAGCAAACAGGAUUAGAUACCCUGGUAGUCCACACCGUAAACGAUGAACACUAGGUGUUAGG